GGGGGCGACCUGGCUUCGACGUGGGUUGCGAAACAGCAUGGUGCGUGCCGAGGCCCAGUUACCUCGUAAAUCCGCUGGAACACUACAAACGCCAACGACGAGCGUUUCGCUCUCGCCGCCUAAACCCGGUGAGACGCUGCACUAGCCGGCCACUGGGCUAGGUCGGGCAACCGACAGCAGCGCCAUAUUCAGUGGCUGGAUGCGUGCGGUGUCACGACGCGCGCCUCGAGAACUAGUGACUGGUCGCGUGUCGGCCUGCCGACUGGCUAAGCACGCGAUGAGACAAAAAUAGGUCGGAUACGCACGUAGUACCAUCUGUGGACCAUUCGCGGACGCGGGUUCGAUUCCCGCCGCCUCCACCA
rnacentral:tmRNA from 1 species